GUGGGGAAUAUUGGACAAUGGGCGAAAGCCUGAUCCAGCCAUGCCGCGUGUGUGAAGAAGGCCCUCGGGUCGUAAAGCACUUUAAGUUGGGAGGAAGGGCUUACAGCGAAUACCUGUGAGUUUUGACGUUACCGACAGAAUAAGCACCGGCUAACUUCGUGCCAGCAGCCGCGGUAAUACGAAGGGUGCAAGCGUUAAUCGGAAUUACUGGGCGUAAAGCGCGCGUAGGUGGCUUGAUAAGUUGGAUGUGAAAUCCCCGGGCUCAACCUGGGAACUGCAUCCAAAACUGUCUGGCUAGAGUGCGGUAGAGGGUAGUGGAAUUUCCAGUGUAGCGGUGAAAUGCGUAGAUAUUGGAAGGAACACCAGUGGCGAAGGCGACUACCUGGACUGACACUGACACUGAGGUGCGAAAGCGUGGGGAGCAAACAGG
rnacentral:rRNA from 1 species